rnacentral:rRNA from 1 species
CUUGCACCUGGUGGCGAGUGGCGAACGGGUGAGUAAUACAUCGGAACGUACCUAAUCGUGGGGGAUAACACAGCGAAAGCUGUGCUAAUACCGCAUACGCCCUGAGGGGGAAAGCGGGGGAUCGAAAGACCUCGCGCGAUUAGAGCGGCCGAUGCCUGAUUAGCUUGUUGGUGGGGUAAAAGCCCACCAAGGCGACGAUCAGUAGCUGGUCUGAGAGGACGAUCAGCCACACUGGGACUGAGACACGGCCCAGACUCCUACGGGAGGCAGCAGUGGGGAAUUUUGGACAAUGGGGGAAACCCUGAUCCAGCAAUGCCGCGUGAGUGAAGAAGGCCUUCGGGUUGUAAAGCUCUUUUGUCAGGGAAGAAACACCGGCUCUAACACAGUCCGGGAAUGACGGUACCUGAAGAAUAAGCACCGGCUAACUACGUGCCAGCAGCCGCAGUAAUACGUAGGGUGCGAGCGUUAAUCGGAAUUACUGGGCGUAAAGCGUGCGCAGGCGGUUAUACAAGACAGGCGUGAAAUCCCCGGGCUUAACCUGGGAAUGGCGCCUGUGACUGUAUAGCUAGAGUGUGUCAGAGGGGGGUAGAAUUCCACGUGUAGCAGUGAAAAGCGUAGAUAUGUGGAGGAAUACCAAUGGCGAAGGCAGCCCCCUGGGAUAACACUGACGCUCAUGCACGAAAGCGUGGGGAGCAAACAG